AAGGGCACCACAAGAACGCGUGGAGCAUGUGGCUUAAUUUGACUCAACGCGGGAAAUCUUACCGGGUCCGGACACACUGAGGAUUGACAGGCAAUAUCUAAAUCGUUUAUAAUAAUUCCUAUUAUAAUACGCUUUUAGUGUUAAAUAUGCUAGUCCUUUCAUGAUUAUGUGAUAGGUGGUGCAUGGCCGUUCUUAGUUCGUGGAGUGAUCUGUCUGCUUAAUUGCGUUUCACUAAGGGCCAUAAAUUCAAGGUAUGUUAGCUAUCGUUUCUCAAUUGACCCCUUGUCUUCGAUAAGCGCGUGUCUUUUAGAGUUUAAACAUUGCGCAUGCUGUUGGGUCCUGAAAGCAACGAACGUGACCGCAACGUCUUAUUGCCUUUAUCUUGCUAUAUUUUAAUUUAAUUAAAAAUAGCUAACAGAGGCUAAUUUAAAAUUAGACGGACCGCUGUACUUUUCUUAAACCAGAGGAAGGUUGCGGCAAUAACAGGUCUGUGAUGCCCUUAGAUGUUCCGGGCUGCACACGUGCUACAAUGAUCAGUACAGUGAGCAUCUCAAUAUUAUACACCGUAUUAAGCGCUUAGUUGCGAUUAUUGGCUCAUUAUUGGGUCUUUUAAUUGUAUUUCUAAUGCGCGCGGUAAAGCCUGCUUCGAGAGUAAGUGGGUAAUCCAUUGGAAGUAAUGAUUUCUCUUUUUAUAGCACACCUAUAUACGGCAUUCAUUCCCGGGACGACUAGUUUCGUCUUUUUUGUGCGAAUGUAAUGUAUUCUUUAUCCGUAUGUGCGAUUGUCAAUUCAUGGUGGGGACAGACCAUUGUUAAUUGUUGGUCUCGGUCUUAACUAGGAAUGCCUUGUACGGGUCUUUGGUUCAACAAACCACCCGGAAUACGUCCCUGCCCUUUGUACACACCGCCCGUCGCUCUUACCGAUGAACUUCUUUGUGAGUCUAAGGGACUGGGUUAAUCUGUAAUUCUAUUAUAGAUAUACCUAUGGAAACUUAUACGAACAAUGUGGUUUAAAGGAAAGAGAAGUCGUAACAAGGCAACAGUAGGUGAACCU
rnacentral:rRNA from 1 species